UACCUGGUUGAUCCUGCCAGUAGUCAUAUGUUUGUCUCAAAGAUUAAGCCAUGCAAGUCUAAGUACGAGCUCUCGUACAGUGAAACUGCGAAUGGCUCAUUAAAUCAGUUAUGGUUCAUUUGAUCGUACAGUUUACUUGGAUAACUGUGGUAAUUCUAGAGCUAAUACAUGCGAGAAGCGCCGACCUCGCGGGAGGCGUGCAUUUAUCAGACCAAAAACCGGCCGCGUCUUCGGGCGCGUUCGCCUUGGUGACUCUGGAUAACUUUGCGGAUCGCACGGUCUAGCACCGGCGACGGAUCAUUCAAGUGUCUGCCCUAUCAACUUUCGUCGGUACGGUAUUUGCCUACCGAGGUUCUUACGGGUGACGGGGAAUCAGGGUUCGAUUCCGGAGAGGGAGCCUGAGAAACGGCUACCACAUCCAAGGAAGGCAGCAGGCGCGCAAAUUACCCAUUCCCGACGCGGGGAGGUAGUGACGAAAAAUAACAAUGCAGGACUCGUUCGAGGCCCUGUAAUUGGAAUGAGUACACUUUAAAAGCUUUAACGAGUAUCCAUUGGAGGGCAAGUCUGGUGCCAGCAGCCGCGGUAAUUCCAGCUCCAAAAGUAUAUAUUUAAGUUGUUGCGGUUAAAUAGCUCGUAG
rnacentral:ncRNA from 1 species